UGGAGGCAACAAGAUCCUCUAUUAAGGAUAGAAGAUCUGUACUCCUCAGAAGAUCCUGCAAUGGGUAUCUGGGGGGGGCACCCCCAAUCCCUUUGGCUACACACUGCAACUUUACUGCUUUCUCUCUUCCACCCAGGGGCAACUCUAGAACAACCAGUUGCAGGGAGCAAAGGGGUGGAAAGCAAGGAUUUUGCUAUAUAUUAAAUACUUAUAGAGAGUCGAAAGUUGCAACAGAGAAAGGUGGCAAGCAGUAAAUAUUUGGAGAGUUGGACCUACUGCUGUGAAAUUCAAGCCUCUGUCUUCUCUGCUCCUGUAUGCCACUGCUUUGGACAAAGGGAAGUAGAUGAUGCCCCAGAGGAAUUUAAACAAGGCCCUGUCCACAUGUACUAGAACCGCUGUUGGUACCGGAUAAAUACUGGCCAGAAAGUCUGCUCAAGCGACGCAGUAGGUCAAGUAAAACAUGACUUUUUUGUACACGGUAAGACCUCAGCUUUUCCAUGUCUGUAGGCACUUCAAGGACAAGUUCUUAUCUUCCCACUCCAGCCACACAUUUCUCCUGCUCUCAGGGAUACUAGUCUAUUCCUAUUCAGAUCUCAGUCAAGCUUUGUGAUGUGGGAGCAGGGAGAUUUUUCUGUGUUUUUACUUCCUAUUCUUGACAACAGGGUCUUGUUUUGCUGCCACCUUAUAUGCUCUCUUCAUAAUAAUGAACUCUCUUUAUUGAGGUCUUCAGUUUUGUAACGCACUGAUGUAGGCAUGAGGGUACAGACCUCACAGACCUCCUUGGUUAUUUCACAAAACAAAGAUGUAUUCAUUUACAGUUGCUGAGGUUUGCUUGUUUCUCUACUUAAUAAGUUGGGUAGUUCUCUUGCUUGAUUACAAAAUGGUUUAUUUUGCAGAACAGUGCACUACACUUUACGAGCCAUCUAAUGGCGUAGUGGGGAAAUGGCUUGACUACCAAGCCAGAGGUUGCUGGUUUGAAUCACCGCUGGUAUGUUUCCCAGACUAUGGGAAACACCUGUAUCAGGCAGCAGUGAUAUAGGAAGAUGCUGAAAGGCAUCCGCUCAUACUGCACGGGAGAUGACAAUGGCAAACCCUUCCUGUAUUCUACCAAAGAUACCCACAGGGCUCUGUGAUUGCCAGGAGUCAACUCCGACUCACUUUAUACUACACUUUCAUUCACUUCUGGCUAAAACACUUCUAUGGGUCUGGUUUUUACCACUCUUUCUUCCCAGAGCUCAUAUAUUAGAGUUACAACUAUAAACAGAAAAGAGGUCUGUGUGUGACACCAAGAUUCACAAAUACAGUAGAAAACCCCAGUCUUAAGUUAUUCAAGAUACAAAAAUAUUGUCCUUAGAAAGAAGGUCAAAACACUCUGGGGUGGGUAACAGAUCAUUGAUUUAGUAAUACUGUAAUGAAGUCUAUGUGCCCUGCUUUUCAGAGAUUAUUAUUUCCAUAUUAAGUAAAUAAUAAACUUGUUCUAAUUUGUUU